rnacentral:tRNA from 1 species
UUAGCUGAGCGGUAAAGCGCUUGGUUUCCAAACUAAAAGUCCCGGGUUCGAUUCCUGGA